rnacentral:rRNA from 1 species
AACGCGAAGAACCUUACCCAGGCUUGAACAGCGAGUGACCACUCACGAAAGUGAGCUUCCGCAAGGACACUCGUAGAGGUGCUGCAUGGCUGUCGUCAGCUCGUGUCGUGAGAUGUUGGGUUAAGUCCCGCAACGAGCGCAACCCUUGUCUGCUGUUGCCAUCACGUUAUGGUGGGCACUCUGCAGAGACUGCCGGUGAUAAACCGGAGGAAGGUGGGGAUGACGUCAAGUCAGCAUGGCCUUUAUGUCUGGGGCUACACACGUGCUACAAUGGCCGAUACAAACCGUCGCGAGCCCGCAAGGGGGAGCUAAUCGGAGAAAGUCGGUCUCAGUUCGGAUUGUCGGCUGCAACUCGCCGGCAUGAAGUUGGAAUCGCUAGUAAUCGCGGAUCAGCACGCCGCGGUGAAUACGUUCCCGGGCCUUGUACACACCGACGCGUA